UUUCCCUCAGGAUAGCUGGCACUCGCUCGAUAGCGAGUCUCAUCUGGUAAAGCGAAUGAUUAGAGGCCUUGGGGCCGAAACGACCUCAACCUAUUCUCAAACUUUAAAUGGGUGAGAUCUCUGGCUUGCUUGAACGUUGAAGCCACGAGAUCGGGCCUCGUCUUUCGAAAGAACGGCGGGAGCCUCAUGGAUCAGAGUGCCAAGUGGGCCAAUUUUGGUAAGCAGAACUGGCGCUGUGGGA
rnacentral:rRNA from 1 species